GCGGGUGCAAGUGAGGCUAUAUGAGGUCACUCAUAUAUUAUAGUAAGAAAAAGGGCACGCAUAAACCCGCGAUGAAGCUACUGGCAUUCACCGUAAACGUUUGGCUUGCGGGCAUUCUGAGUACCACAGUUUUCCGAAAAGUGGAGGCACACGUUGACUGCUCUCUCGAACCGAAAGUGGGAAAUUGCAAAGCCGCAAUCCCGAGGUGGUUUUACAACAUUAGUGCACAUCAAUGUAAAACGUUUAUCUAUGGCGGAUGUACUGGCAAUAGCAACAACUUCCGGGAUAAAAUGCAAUGCGAACGAUUAUGCGGAGGGGCCACUGCUCCCGGGAAACCCAAAGUAAACGGCGAUUGCUUUCUCAGAAAGGAAGUCGGAAAAUGCAAAGCUUCAAAACCACGAUGGUUUUUUGAUGUCAGCACAUAUCGGUGUGAAGAGUUUAUCUAUGGUGGUUGCGGUGGC
rnacentral:lncRNA from 1 species